rnacentral:rRNA from 1 species
CCUACGGGAGGCAGCAGUGGGGAAUAUUGGUCAAUGGGCGGAAGCCUGACCCAGCGACGCCGCGUGAGGGAAGAAGGCUUUCGGGGUGUAAAACUCUUUUUUCAGGGACGAAACAAAUGACGGUACCUGACGAAUAAGCCCCGGCUAACUACGUGCCAGCAGCCGCGGUAAUACGUAGGUGGCAAGCGUAAUCCGGACUUACUGGGUGUAAAGGGCGAGUAGGCGGGAAUGCAAGUCAGAUGUGAAAGCUAGGGGCGCAACCCAUGGCCUGCAUUUGAAACUGGAGUACUUGAGUGCUGGAGAGGCAAUCGGAAUUCGUGGUGGAGCGGGGAAAUGCGUAGAUAUAAGGAGGAACACCAGUGGCGAAGGCGGAUUGCUGGAGUGUAACUGACGCUGAGGCUCGAAAGCGUGGGGAGCAAACAGGAUUAGAUACCCGGGUAGUC